rnacentral:rRNA from 1 species
GAUGAACGCUGGCGGCGUGCCUAAUACAUGCAAGUCGAGCGAACAGACGAGAAGCUUGCUUCUCUGAUGUUAGCGGCGGACGGGUGAGUAACACGUGGGUAACCUACCUAUAAGACUGGGAUAACUCCGGGAAACCGGGGCUAAUACCGGAUAAUAUUUUGAACCGCAUGGUUCAAUAGUGAAAGACGGUUUCGGCUGUCACUUAUAGAUGGACCCGCGCCGUAUUAGCUAGUUGGUAAGAUAACGGCUUACCAAGGCGACGAUACGUAGCCGACCUGAGAGGGUGAUCGGCCACACUGGAACUGAGACACGGUCCAGACUCCUACGGGAGGCAGCAGUAGGGAAUCUUCCGCAAUGGGCGAAAGCCUGACGGAGCAACGCCGCGUGAGUGAUGAAGGUCUUCGGAUCGUAAAACUCUGUUGUUAGGGAAGAACAAAUUUGUUAGUAACUGAACAAGUCUUGACGGUACCUAACCAGAAAGCCACGGCUAACUACGUGCCAGCCGCCGCGGUAA